CUAAUAUAGGCCCUCAGGACACA
rnacentral:tRNA from 1 species